UUUGCAAGAGCCCCUUCCCGUCUGCUUUCCCAUCUUUCACUCUUUUCCUUCUGUCUUGUCAGCUUUCCCUUUGUCCUUUUGGCUUUCCUGCCUGCUCUUCCUGCCAACAAGUCUGUACUUUCUCUCCUCCCUCCCGCCCCCCAUUCCUGAUCUCAUUUUCAAUGUAAUUAUAUUUCCUUGGGAGGUGGAAAUAGACGGAUGAAGGAGAAAGUUAUCCUUUAUCACACCCCCACCCUUAAGAUGAAGCCACAACUAUUCUCCAUGGCAUUCUGCUGGACUUUGAAGAAUGUUGGUAUGAUAAUCGCAGGAAAGAAACUCUGCCUCUGGAAACCAUAUGUUACUGCACAUUUACGGAGCUUCAACUCUGAUUCCACAUCCAGAAGGAACUGUGUGACUCAAGGGGACAGUUUCCACCUCUUCACCGAUCAUGUUUGAGAUUCAAGGCCAGAUGAUGACAUCAGAAACAUAUGUGUUCAUCUGGCGGCAACACUUGGCCUAAGAAACAGAGCAAGAGCUCCAGUGGGAGAACUAGGCUUUCAUUGGCCUAAAAAGAACCCCAAGAGGAUCCAAGAUCAUCUUACUCCAACCUACGGUUUUACAGAUGCUUACAUUCCCCAUUGUGUGUGUGUGUGUGUGUGUGUGUGUGUGUGUGUGUAUCUAUGUAUAUCUACACACACACACACACACACACAGAAGAUCUGUGGUCUUCAAAAAAACUAAUUUCACCACUUUAGAUUAGGUACUGGUAGUAAGAAGAUUUUCCCAAGGACCUGCCUCGUUUUCUCUCUAUACACAUACAAGCACCAAGACACUGGAAAGCUCUGCUGGAUAAGUAGUGUAGUGACUUGGCAGCAUGAUUUGUUCACUCACUUGUUCAUUUGUUAGAGACAUACUUACUGAGCAGCUCUUAUGACAGAUAGAGCCCUUGUACCAGACAUCGAGCUGUACAUCGACAAUUUGGUUACCAGUAAGUACCAUGUGGGUAAUGUAUGAAAGGUUUAGUGGGAACCUUCCUGGUCUCUUACCUGGUCUCCUCUGUGAUCAAUAGCUCACGUUUCCCAAGUUCCCAGGUCUGUGGGCAGCUCAGAUGGCAAUGUGGGUCCCUCACCAAAUGGGCUCUUUUGUAUAGAGGUUUGGGCUAUUGGGUCUUUCACUUAUUAACUUCUCUGAGUGAGGAGACUUGCACCCUUAAUCCUGUUUUUUUCUACUAUUCUGAUUGGCUGGAGCCAAUGUAAUCCUAGUACUUUGGCCUCUAAGUGAUGAGAACUAGGACAGGAUUAGCUAGAAAUUUUAAGACAGCAUCUAUGUUUGUGACACAUCAUUAAGCACAUAUUAGCUGUUCUGGGCAAUGAAUUUCUCCUUUUGCUUAUGUCAGAAAAUGGAACCAAAGGGAAGCCAUUUGUCUCAACUCUCCUCAGUGAUAGGCAUUGGGAUUAUUAAAUUUAGAGCUGGAAGAAAUGUCAUCCUUAGAGAAACAUCUCCUUCGAGACUGACAGUCAGAGUGAAAUUUGACACCCUCCUUCUGGGCUCACCUGUUUGGAUUGUUUUGGAGGUCUUUCAAAGGGAUGGAUCUUCUUGUGAGGGCAGGCUCACAGAGGAACAGUGGAGAGGGCUUAGCUGUGACGUUGCAGGCUGCAAGGUAGGCGUGCCCAAGAAUGCAUCAAAGGCAUUAGCGCCGAUCUCUGGAAAGAAGCAGUAGUAAUUAAAAUAUUUGCCAUCUUUCUCUUUGAGAAGGAUUUCUGUCCCAUGGCAACAUAAUAGCACUAGUAAAUGUGAUCUGUCAGAGUGCGUGGCUGGAAAUGCAUACGAUGGUUAGGGACCUAACACUGCUUUUAGUGAACCCCUGGUCCUUCCAUCUGGGACACACCUCUCCUCUUGUGCAUUCAAGUCUACCCUUCUGCCUCCUUCAGGACGUGGUGCUCAUAAUUAUUCAUUACUUUUGUCUCGCAUCUUCAAUUACUUUAUUUUCUUUGGCUUUUUCCUUUUAUAAAUAAAGAGGUGCCAAACUCCCCAAACCUUAAAAAAGAAAACACACAAGCAAGUGAAACCUUGUGGUCAGGCUUCUCUUUUUGACCUCUUACAGUCCAGCUCUUGUCCUAUCUCUGCUGAAAUUCUUGCUGGGGGUGCAGUCAGAGCCCUGUUUCUGUCCUACUUGCAUUCUUGGCAGCAUUCCUUUUCCUCUCGAACACCCCUUCCUUUUUGAUAAGCACUCCUCUGGCUUCUAUACCAUUAUGCCCUUGAAUUUCCCUUGCUUCUCUAUCUCCCACCAUUUCUGUGCAAUAUCUUCACCAUUUCUCCUUU